GAACAUGUAAAACUCAAAUCGCAGUUGUUUUUUACUUAAGAUCCCAAAAAUAUGUCCUCAUACAAAAUCACGUCUUUCUAAAGUAUCUUCAUGUCAAUUAACAGAAUGGACAAGAAAAUUAAUGAAAACAUUUAGAGCAAUCAUGAGGAAUUGAAAAGCAAACGAACUAAAAGUUCUAGUUAAUGGCAUACAUUGAAUUAACAAAAAAUUACAAUGAGAUCAAACCCCUAAACAAAAUAAAUACUCCAGCACUAAAAUUCUUGUUUUCAUGAUUCUUAUGAAAGAAAGCAAUAGCACACUGCUACACUUCAUCGGGAAACAAAAAUGAGUGAUCCUAACAAUUCAUAUUUGUCGCGUGAUGGCGCCUUGUUAAAAUUAAAACUAGCAGGAAGCACCCAAGACUACCUAGAGGCAUGAGUCACGGAUUCCAAUUUAGAGCACAUGAAACUUACACAUGAAAUUGAAAUGAGCCUAAUAGUUCAAUCGAAAUUUAAGCUAAAAGCUAAAGAAAUCAUUAAAUGAAAUGCCAAAGAAACUAUGAGAUCAAAGUACCAAUCUACAUAUUUAGAACCUACGCUAAAUUUUUUAAUUGUAAUUUAAACUAAUCAAACUACAAUAAGGGAGAAAAUCAAUAGUAGAAAAAUUAGCUAAGCCAAGAAGUCAUGCUGAUUACUGCAAUUUCAGUACAUUUAAUUUAGCUUUACAGAUCUAAUGCAAGAGGCAUACAUAACACAGAAUCACGAUAAAUCGGAAAAAUAUCAGUUCAUAUAGUAAGAUUACUGUGAUGACAGAAAUGUCAAGAAGAACGGACCUGAUAUAGUCUUUUAAUUAGUGAAACUCAUCAGUUACAACAACUAAAUAGAAACGAUGAUUCUGGAACUGAAAUCUUCAACGUGAAAACUUCAAACAAAAGUAGCAAAAUGCCACCUUUGAUCUCAAACGACGCCCCAAUCAGAUGAACUCGAUCUGACCUCAAACUUAAUCGAAUUCAUAGUCGAAAACCAAAAAUCAUAGAAGGGAAGGUGAAAAUCUAAACCAAAACCUUAAAAAUUUCGGCCCUCUCUGCCCGAAUUCUUCUGUCCGAUUUUCUCCUCUCUCGCUCCCUGUGUAUAUGCGGUUGUGUGUGUCGAGUUCCUGGCGUGGAGGAGAUGUGGUGGGUCUUAGGUUGAAGCUUAGGGGUUGCGUCUCUUAUGAAGUGAAGAAGAAGAGCCGCUCCUGGAGGUGUCUUUCUCUUAGGGAUUUUUUAGGGAUUUUUAGGUUAAUGAAGGGUGAGGAAGAAGGGUCCAAACGGCUGGGGGUCUUC
rnacentral:lncRNA from 1 species